rnacentral:rRNA from 1 species
UAGGGAAUCUUCGGCAAUGGGGGGAACCCUGACCGAGCAACGCCGCGUGAGUGAAGAAGGUUUUCGGAUCGUAAAGCUCUGUUGUUAAGGAAGAACGAGUGUGAGAAUGGAAAGUUCAUGCUGUGACGGUACUUAACCAGAAAGCCACGGCUAACUACGUGCCAGCAGCCGCGGUAAUACGUAGGUGGCAAGCGUUGUCCGGAUUUAUUGGGCGUAAAGCGAGCGCAGGCGGUCAAUUAAGUCUGAUGUGAAAGCCCCCGGCUCAACCGGGGAGGGUCAUUAGAAACUGGUUGACUUGAGUGCAGAAGAGGAGAGUGGAAUUCCAUGUGUAGCGGUGAAAUGCGUAGAUAUAUGGAGGAACACCAGUGGCGAAGGCGACUCUCUGGUCUGUAACUGACGCUGAGGCUCGAAAGAGUGGGGAGCGAACAGG